ACUAGAACACACCCGUGAUAUCGCGGGUCCGUGACUGAAUUAAAGUAUAUAACUAUGCGUAUGCCUUAUUUUAGUAUUGGUAUUGUCAUCUGAUAAAGUCAUGCCGAUUAUAAGAUGCACAGUUUUCUCUGCUUUUCAAAAACUUCUGUUUGAACCCGUCGACCUGGAACCUAUCAAUUAUUGGUAAUAUUAAUAAUUUGGAAAACAAAAGGGUCUGGAAUGGAGUACUUUUUACUCAACAG
rnacentral:lncRNA from 1 species